AAAAGUUCGAUGUGUGAUUAAGCAUUGGAAAAUGAAAAAAGUAGUUGAUGUAUGACUAGUCAUUGAAAAAUAAAUUAAAAAAUAAAGUGUUGAAAUGACUUAAUGGACCGAAAUAAAUUGAUAGUUUUUUUUAAAUUAAACAUUUUAAUUAAACAAAUUACAAGACAUACUAUUAUAUAUAAAUUACAAUAAUGCCAUCACGAUCAAAUUUCAAAAUUAAAAGCCAUAUUUUUCUUUCAUUUUUCUCUCAUCCUUACUCCAUGUUUUCCUUUCAUUUUUUUUUUUUAAUUAUCAGUACUCCAUCUUUUUUCUUCAUUUUUUCCUUUUAUUUCAUGUACAUGACUCUAGGGAUGGCAAAAUCCAAGUCCGGGUUCAGCCUUCACGAUUUCGGAUUUGGAUAUGAUUUUCUUAUACCGGAUUCGAAUUUAAACCUGAACUUUUCCAAUUGGGUCCGGUUCAAGUUUAACCCGGAAAAAACUCAAGUUUUUGGAUAUUGAAUUUUGAACACGGAUUAGUGAAUCAAGUAAAAAAAAAAACUUAAAAUACAAAUAAAUCCAGAUUCUAAUAAAAUAAAAAACAUAUACUUGUUAAAUUUCAAUGUUUCUAAGUAAUAAAACAUCCACAAUACAAUAAUCAUUAAUAAGAAUAAUAUUCCUUUGCAAGAAAAAUAUUAAAGGCAGAGGAAACAAAUCAAAACGAGGGAGAAAUUGUGGGAACUGUCAUGCAUUUGUAGAUCUCACUUUGCUGCCAUAUCAGAGGAAACAAGAGGCUAAAAAAGCUGAAAAAGGCAAAGCAAAACCCAUUCCCUCAUGAUGAUGAAGAGGAUGUUUUCAAUCGAUGCUGCCGAUGAUGACAAAUGUCGCUUUUUCAACCAUAUCACAGCCGGACAAAUGGCGGUUGAUGAUGAUGAUGAAUAGAGCCGUGAAGGUUGUGAUUGGCAAAGCACGGUGAUUUGAUUUGAUGAAUAAAAGAGUUGAAGAGAAAGGAAAUGUUUGGAGGCUGUGGUUGUGAUAUGUGAAACUAGGGCGCUUAGAAUUUCUUUUUUGAUCUUUGUAUUUAUAUUAAAAAUAAUUAAAAAACUAAUUUUAAAAUAAGAUAUCCGGAUCCGGGUUCCGGAUCUACG
rnacentral:lncRNA from 1 species